AUGACGAGCCCCACGCUCGCGCGCAAGGCCAAGCUCAAGAACCACCUCGUCUCCGCGAAGGCCAAGCUCCGGCAGCACGUCACCCUCCGCCGCAUCGUCCUCGUCGCCGCCGCAUCCGCCGCGGCCUUCAUUCUCCUCCUCACCGUCCGCACCCUCUCCGCCUCGCACGCCAGAUCACCAGGCGCCGCCUCGUCCACCACCUCCCCGCCCGAGGCCGUACGGCGCAACACGCAGCAGCAGCAGGGCGGGUGCGCGAAGCUGCCUGGGCCAGUCGCCGAGGCGCUGGUUCACUACGCGACCGCCAACGCGACGCUGCCGCAGACUGCGGCCGAGGUCGGGGUGACCGCGCGCCUGCUGGCGCGGCGCGCGCCGUGCAACCUCCUGGUGUUCGGCGGCCUCAGCCCCGACAGCGCGCUCUGGGCGGCGCUCAACCACGGCGGACGCACCGCCUUCCUCGAGGAGGACGCCGCCCUGAUCGCCGAAGUUGGCGCUCGUCACCCGGGCCUCGGCCUCGAGUCCCACCAGGUCGCCUACCAGACCACGCUCGCCGACGCCGACGAGCUCCUCGGCCUCCGUGGCUCCCCGGACUGCACUGCCUCUCCGCCCAAGGAUCAUCCACUCUCGCCGGACCACUUCGAGGGAUCCCCAUGCAAGCUCGCCAUGCGUGGGCUGCCGGCAGCGUUCUAUGAGACGGAGUGGGACGUGAUCAUGGUGGACGCGCCUACGGGGUGGGUGCCAGAGGCGCCAGGGAGGGUGGGCGGCGCGAUAUACAUGGCCGGAAUGGCGGCGCGGGCGCGGCGGCCGGGAAAUGGCGAGACGGAAGUGUUGGUGCACGACGUGGACAGAACGGUGGAGGACAGCUUCUCCAGGGCGUUCCUGUGCGCAGGCUACCUCGAGGAGGAGGUCGGCAGGCUCAGGCGCUUCGCCGUCCCGAGCCACAGGGAAAAGGAAGGCCUGCCAUUUUGCCCUUGA
rnacentral:rRNA from 1 species